CGUUUUUCCACAUCAAUACCAACAUCUGUUGUUUUUUGACUUUUUAAUCAUAACCAUUGUGACUGGCGUAAGGAUUACCUUUUAACAACAAUCAUCGCCAAGUUAUAUGACCUCAGGAAAGAUAGUCGCUGUCUCUGACACUCAGUUUCCUCUUUUAUAGUGAAAAAUGGACUCUGAAUGCCAAGGUUCCUCUCAGCUCUCCGGUGCUGGGAUUCAGUGUAACUCUCCCUGAAUUCCUCCGCCAUCGUGUGAGCCAUUUAAAAAUGAUGGAUUCUUCCAGGAGGAGCGAUGUCUCUUUAACUAGAAUCGUCAAGGUUUGAAAACAUUUAGGAUCAUAUGAAAUUUUGGAUUACUUUGCUCUCCAGUAUCUGUCCUGAAGAGAUAAAUGUGACAGACGGCUGUUUAUUCUAUGAAAUGAAAAUGACAUCCCCGGCUGGGCGUGGUGACUCAAGUCUGUAAUCCCAGCACUUUGGGAGGCUGAGACGGGCGGAUCACGAGGUCAGGAGAUCAAGACCAUCCUGGCUAACACGGUGAAACCCCGUCUCUACUAAAAAAUACAAAAAACUAGCCGGGUGAGGUGGCGGGCGCCUGUAAUCCCAGCUACUCAGGAGGCUGAGGGAGGAGAAUAGUGUAAACUCGGGAGGCGGAGCUUGCAGUGAGCUGAGAUCCGGCCACUGCACUCCAGCCUGGGCAACAGAGUGAGACUCCAUCUCAAAAAAAAAAAAAAAAAAAGAAAAAAAAAAAAAAAAAUGACAUCCCCUGCCCAGGAGCAGUGGUGUAAUGAUUUAUAAGAUAGCGUAUUUAAAAUCAUUCAAGAUUUGGUGAUAAGCUAUUAGAUACAACACCAAAGGUACAAGGCGUGAGAGAAAAAACUGGUAACUUGGAUUUCAUUAACAUAAAAAAAU
rnacentral:lncRNA from 1 species